rnacentral:rRNA from 1 species
UGGGGAAUAUUGCACAAUGGGCGCAAGCCUGAUGCAGCCAUGCCGCGUGUAUGAAGAAGGCCUUCGGGUUGUAAAGUACUUUCAGCGAGGAGGAAGGUGUUGUGGUUAAUAACCGCAGCAAUUGACGUUACUCGCAGAAGAAGCACCGGCUAACUCCGUGCCAGCAGCCGCGGUAAUACGGAGGGUGCAAGCGUUAAUCGGAAUUACUGGGCGUAAAGCGCACGCAGGCGGUCUGUCAAGUCGGAUGUGAAAUCCCCGGGCUCAACCUGGGAACUGCAUCCGAAACUGGCAGGCUAGAGUCUUGUAGAGGGGGGUAGAAUUCCAGGUGUAGCGGUGAAAUGCGUAGAGAUCUGGAGGAAUACCGGUGGCGAAGGCGGCCCCCCUGGACAAAGACUGACGCUCAGGUGCGAAA